rnacentral:rRNA from 1 species
UACGUAGGGGGGCUAGCGUUGUCCGGAAUCAUUGGGCGUAAAGCGCGCGUAGGCGGCCCCGGUAAGUCCGCUGUAAAAGUCCAGGGCUCAACCCUGGAAAGCCGGUGGAUACUGUCGGGCUCGAGUCCGGAAGAGGCGAGUGGAAUUCCUGGUGUAGCGGUGGAAUGCGCAGAUAUCAGGAGGAACCACCAAUGGCGAAGGCAGCUCGCUGGGACGGUACUGACGCUAAAGGGCGCGAAAAGCGUGGGGGAGCAAACAGGG